AAACUAACUAGGAUACUCUUAGUAAGUGCGACCGAAGAGAGUAAAGCUCAAUAAUCUAAACUUUAAAUUUUUAUAAUUUAAAGUCAUGUGAUUUUCUAAACUCAUUGAAAUUUUUAUAAAUUAUGAUUGAAUUCAUAACUAUAAAGAGUUAUAGUCUCGUUAUUUAAAAUUUCAAGCAUGGGAAUUAGAAUUAAAGAGUCGGGUAGCUUGAGAAUGCUGCCUUAAUAUAGGUGGUACACCCCAUCUAAAGCUAAAUAUUGUAAAGAGACCGAUAGCAUACAAGUAGUGUGAACGAAAGAUGAAAAGAACUCCUAAACGGAGAAUUAAAAGCGCCUGAACUUGUCUAGGUUUUCGCAUUUCUUUAAUGCGCCCGUCUUGAAACACGGAUUAGGGAGUUUUACUUAAAUACGAGUCUUUAACUUUUAAAGUAAUUUUUUUAAAAAAGGCGAAAAGAAAUUAACUGGUUUUUUAACAUGGCUAUAGAGUAUUUAAGUCAAAACCCGAAUGGAGGUGAACUAUUCCUGCAAAGAUUGAAGUCAGGGGAAACUCUGAUGGAAGAUCGUUGGCGUUAUUGAUGUGCAAAUCAUUUGCUUUAUGUAGGUAUAGGUGCGAAAGACUCAUCGAACCUCCUAAUAGCUGGUUUCCUCCGAAGUUUCCCUCAGGAUAGCUGUAACAUUUUUAAAUAGUUAAGGAUAGUAGAGAAAUGGGUAGAGGUGUAGUGGAACUACGGUUCUGCAACUUAUUUCCAAACUUCGAACGUUCUUGAUAUAAAAAAUUACCUAAUAGGAAUUUUUUAUUUAAAUAUAUGUUAUAAGUGGGCUCUGACCGGUAAGCGGUCAUGGCGAAAAGGGAUGAACCUAACGUAUAAAUAAGGUGCCUAAAUUUACUAACAAUGAAACCAUUAAAAGAGUCCAUGUAUUUAGACAGCGGGUCGGUGCCCCUAAAAGCAGGUAUCCGUUAAUGAGUGUGUUAAAACUCCCCCGCCGAAUACUCUGGCCUUGAAAAUGAAUGGCGCAUAUAGUAAUACCGAUAUUAUACAUUAAAAUUAUUUAAAAAUUUUAAAAGUAGGGGGAUGUGGAUAUCUUAGAGAAUUUUUAAUUGUAAAAUUGAAUUGAAAGAUAUCUAUUACAGAUCCUAAUUGAAGUAGCGAUUAUCCAGGUUAAUCUCCUGGGGGCUGAUGAGGAGUAGGGUUUCUGGGCAACUUAAACGGACCCAGAGUUAGUCGAUCCUAAUCAAAUUAAAUUUAGAGAAAGGGAAUAUGAAUGAUAUUUCAUAACUAAAAUUAAUUUUUAAAUGGUGACAUUUUUUUAAACUUAUUUCCAUCAAUUAAAUACUGUUUAAUAGGGAUUUCUUUCCUAUAUAACUUUUUAAUUAAAACUUAAGAAACAGGUUAACUGGAGAAUAAAGUUUUAAUUUAGUAAAAUUAUAAUUUCGAUUAUAAUAACGGCUAUUUAAAUGAUCCAUGAAACAAUAAGUUUAUUUUUUCAAAAAUUAAUUUAAUCGUACCGAUAACCGCAUCAGGUCUCCAAGGUGAGUAGCUUCUGGCCAUUGAGUAAUGGUAAUUUAGGGAAUUCGGCCAAUUAGAGCUGUAACUUCGGGAUAAAGCUUGGCUCUGAUGGAAAUCAGAACCGAUAGUUACAAGGAGAGCCCAACUGUUUAAUAAAAACUUAGUGUCGCGUCAUACCUUUAUAAGUAAUAAACGUGACAUGAAUCCUGCUCAGUGCUGUGUUUGUUAAACUGGAUUAAUCCAUUUAAGCGCCGGUAAAUAGCUGGGGUAACUAUGACUCUUAUCAAAGUAGCGAAAUACCUCGUCACUUAAUUAGUGACCUGCAUGAACGGAGCUAUGAGGUUCUCACUGUCCCAAAUUAUCACUCAGCGAACCAACAGUUGUGGGAACGGGCACAAAUUAUCCAGCGGGGAAAGAAGACCCUGUAGAGCUUCACUUUGGUCUAAUCUUGUAUAGUUUCGUUAGGGGUGCAGUCUAGGUGGGAGAUUUUUAAUCAAAUAUGAGAAACCACUACCCUUUCUGGAAUUAUACUUACUAAAAUUCUUUUCUAAAUUUUAGGAUCGGAUUAGAUAGAAAGUUUGGCUGGGGCGGCACACCUUCGAAAAAGCAGCGAAGGUGUCCUAAGUUAAGCUCAGUAAGGACAGAAAUCUUACGUUGAGGAUAAGGCCAAAAGCUUAAUUUACUGUGCCUUUUUGUACUAGGAUCAGUUUGGAAACAAAGGCCUAACGAUCCCUAAUUAGUCUUAGGUGUGUAAGACUUGGGGUGACAGACAAGUUACCUCCGGGACAACUGGCUUGUGGCUGCUAAGAGAUCAAAUCAACGCAGCUUUUUGAUUCUUCGAUGUCGGC
rnacentral:rRNA from 1 species